GUACACACCGCCCGUCGCWMCUACCGAUUGAAUGAUUCGGUGAAAAUUUCGGACUGUGAUAUUUAUACUUUCGGAUAUUUUUAUCGUAGAAAGUUAUUUAAACCUCAUCAUUUAGAGGAAGGUGAAGUCGUAACAAGGUUUCYGUAGGUGAACCUGCAGAAGGAUCA
rnacentral:rRNA from 1 species